CUUUUGCAUCAUGAUUUAGCAAGUCCCCAACAAGCAAAAUGCCUUUUAGUUUGUUACCCCGAAACUAGACGAGCUACUCCAAGGCAGCCUAACUAUAGGGUGAACCCGUCUCUGUGGCAAAAGAGUGGGAAGACCUUUGAGUAGUGGUGAUAAACCUACCGAGCCUAGUAAUAGCUGGUUGCCUGAGAAAUGAAUAGGAGUUCAGCCCUUUAAUGUCUUAAUUCCACCUCAGACUCGCUCACUUAAUGAUGAAAAGACACCAUAAAGGAGUUAUUCAAGAGAGGAACAGCUCUCUUGAAAGAAGAUACAACUUUGACAGAAGACUAAAGAUCAAAAGACAGAAACCAGAGUACCCAGGUGGGCCUAAAAGCAGCCA
rnacentral:rRNA from 1 species